GUUGAACGCUGGCGGCAUGCCUUACACAUGCAAGUCGAACGGCAGCACGGGAGCAAUCCUGGUGGCGAGUGGCGAACGGGUGAGUAAUAUAUCGGAACGUGCCCAGUCGUGGGGGAUAACGUAGCGAAAGCUACGCUAAUACCGCAUACGAUCUAUGGAUGAAAGCGGGGGAUCGCAAGACCUCGCGCGAUUGGAGCGGCCGAUAUCAGAUUAGGUAGUUGGUGGGGUAAAGGCUCACCAAGCCGACGAUCUGUAGCUGGUCUGAGAGGACGACCAGCCACACUGGGACUGAGACACGGCCCAGACUCCUACGGGAGGCAGCAGUGGGGAAUUUUGGACAAUGUGCGCAAGCCUGAUCCAGCAAUGCCGCGUGCAGGAUGAAGGCCUUCGGGUUGUAAACUGCUUUUGUACGGAGCGAAAAGGCUUCCACUAAUACUGGGGGCUCAUGACGGUACCGUAAGAAUAAGCACCGGCUAACUACGUGCCAGCCGCCGCAGUAAAAC
rnacentral:rRNA from 1 species